rnacentral:lncRNA from 1 species
CCCAGCUACUUGGGAGGCUGAGGCAGGAGAAUCACUUGAAUCUGGGAGGUGGAGGUUGCAGUGAGCCAAGAUUGCGCCACUGCACUGCAGCCUGGGCAAGAGUGAGACUCUGUCUCAAAAAAAAAAAAGAUUAUUAUAACGUAUAUAUUCAUUAUAGUAAAUACUCAUGAACGGAAGGAAAAAUCAUGCAUAAUGUUACUGCCAAAAAAACACUUAUGUUAACAGGAUUCUACCUUAUGUAGAAGGAUUCUACCUUUUAUGUUUUUUAGAUUUGUAUUCUCACUGUGCAUCAUGUAUAUUGAAUUUUAGACACUUUAAAAUUAUAACAUGAUAAUGGCCGGCCUCGGUGGCUCACACCUGUAAUCUCAGUACUUUGGGAGGCUGAGGCAGGCAGAUCACCAGAGGUCAGGAGUUCGAGACUAGCCUGGCCAACAUGGCAAAACUCCGUCUCUACUAAAAAUACAAAAAUUAGCCGGGCAGACAGAUCACCUGAGGUCAGGAGUUCGGGACCGCCCUGGCCAACAUGGUGAAACCCCAUCUCUACUAAAAAUAGAAAAAUUAGCCGGGCAUGUUGGCAUGCGCCUGUAAUCCCAGCUAUUCAGGAGGCUGAGGCAGGAGAAUCGCUUGAACCCAGGAGGCGUAGGUUGCAGUGACCCGAGAUCGUGCCAUUGCAUUCCAGGCUGGUUGAAAAGAGCGAGACUCCAUCUCAAAAAAAAAAAAAAAAAAAAAAAGAAACAUUAUAAGAAAAAAAGAAAAAAAAGAGCAAGGAAACAUAAGAGAUAAACAUUUUUCCACACUUUCCAUCGCCCAGGCUGGAGUGCAGUGGCAUGAUCUCGGCUCACUGCAACCUCUGCCUCCCAGGUUCCAGCAAUUCUCCUGCCUCUGCCUCCCGAGUACCUGGGAUUACAGGUGCCUGCUACCAUGCCCAGCUAAUUUUUGUAUUUUUAGUAGAGACAGGGUUUUGCCACGUUGGCCAGACUGGUCUCGAACUCCUGACCUCAGGUGAUCCACCCACCUCGGCCUCUCAAAGUGCUGGGAUUACAGGUUUGAACCACUGCACCCGGCCAGUAAAAGAAAUUUUGAAGGCCAUUGCAGCUAUUUGGUAGUGUCUUGUUAUUUCUAGGUGUACCUUAGUUAAAGAGGAAAAAUAAAACGGAAAAAAGCUUGGAAAUCAGUGAUGUGUAGUUAUUUGGCAAGUUAUACAUAAUCAGCAGCAGCCAGGCUCAAGAAAAUAAAAGUUGAUUAGUUGAUCAGAAAUAAAAUCUGUAGAGUGAAUUAGAUUUCUGAGUUGUUGUUGUUAAUGGAACAUUCUAUUUGAGACCUUUUUCAGGUGUGUAGCAAUUCUACCAUGUCCAUUUUUUUAAGCAUUAAAAAGGAACUUACCAGUUGUAAAUUAAGACAAGAUCCAAAUAGUCAUAUUUUUGUGUUUCCUCUAAAAAAAUGUAAGAUUUCCAUUUUUGGCACUGACUAACUGAGCCUACAUCUAGAUUUUAAAUACCAUCUUGAAUCCUAAUAAUUAAACUGAUGAAAGUGCAUAUCAUUGUUCCUAACAUUUAUGAACCCCCAUAAAGAUGUUCCUGAUCUUUAAAACUCAUUAAUCUGAGUAUUAAGUAGAAACAGAAUUUUCCAAAGCAUUAGACAUCACUUUCUCAGUUUAUCUGAGGUGACUUCGUGUACAUCUGUUUCUAAUAUAUUUGACUAAUUUUCAUGAUCUCAGAUUGUGAGGUAAAUGUAAUCUGGAAUAAUAAGUGUCUUUUACCUAGAUUACAUCUCUCAUUUGGAGUUUGGCAAUGAAACUGCUAUGAAGAAUGACUGUACUCUCCUAUCUGUCCCUGGAUGACAUAAAUAUCAUUUGCUUUGUUGUUUAAACUGAAAUAAAGUUUUCCAAGAACAAAGUAAGCAUUCUUCAUUCUUUUUCAGUUUUAAUUCCAAAUAUACUUUAUAGAUUUUUUUGCAGAAUUUAAUGAGGUGAUGCUUUAAUCAUAUGAAUAAUAAAUGCACCUGAGAUUUCUCUCUAGUAAAGAAAAGAAAAUAUGGAAACACUUUUAUGGUAAGAAAGUUACUUCUUGGCAUUUGAACAAAUAACUUGGGAGGGUAAUCCACUGAAUCAGUCAUUUUCAAUUUCACUUAUUGUAACUUAUGGUUAUAGUUGCUAGGGAUCAUUUUGAUCAUCUUUGAUAGAAUUCUUUUUGUUAUUUCUCCUUUCUAAAUUUUGCUUUGUUAUGAUUCAGAACAGAUCAUAUUAAAGGGCCAGCUUAUAUUUUAUGUAAACCAGUAGAAGAAAAAGUACCCAACAAGGUAAAGAUGUUUAGAAAAUAAUGUUUCAAAAGUUUGGUGAUUUUAUAGUCAAGG